rnacentral:rRNA from 2 species
AAAUUGAAGAGUUUGAUCAUGGCUCAGAUUGAACGCUGGCGGCAGGCCUAACACAUGCAAGUCGAACGGUAACAGGAAGCAGCUUGCUGCUUCGCUGACGAGUGGCGGACGGGUGAGUAAUGUCUGGGAAACUGCCUGAUGGAGGGGGAUAACUACUGGAAACGGUGGCUAAUACCGCAUAACGUCGCAAGACCAAAGAGGGGGACCUUCGGGCCUCUUGCCAUCAGAUGUGCCCAGAUGGGAUUAGCUUGUUGGUGAGGUAACGGCUCACCAAGGCGACGAUCCCUAGCUGGUCUGAGAGGAUGACCAGCCACACUGGAACUGAGACACGGUCCAGACUCCUACGGGAGGCAGCAGUGGGGAAUAUUGCACAAUGGGCGCAAGCCUGAUGCAGCCAUGCCGCGUGUAUGAAGAAGGCCUUCGGGUUGUAAAGUACUUUCAGCGGGGAGGAAGGUGUUGCGGUUAAUAACCGCAGCAAUUGACGUUACCCGCAGAAGAAGCACCGGCUAACUCCGUGCCAGCAGCCGCGGUAAUACGGAGGGUGCAAGCGUUAAUCGGAAUUACUGGGCGUAAAGCGCACGCAGGCGGUCUGUCAAGUCGGAUGUGAAAUCCCCGGGCUCAACCUGGGAACUGCAUUCGAAACUGGCAGGCUUGAGUCUUGUAGAGGGGGGUAGAAUUCCAGGUGUAGCGGUGAAAUGCGUAGAGAUCUGGAGGAAUACCGGUGGCGAAGGCGGCCCCCUGGACAAAGACUGACGCUCAGGUGCGAAAGCGUGGGGAGCAAACAGGAUUAGAUACCCUGGUAGUCCACGCCGUAAACGAUGUCUACUUGGAGGUUGUGCCCUUGAGGCGUGGCUUCCGGAGCUAACGCGUUAAGUAGACCGCCUGGGGAGUACGGCCGCAAGGUUAAAACUCAAAUGAAUUGACGGGGGCCCGCACAAGCGGUGGAGCAUGUGGUUUAAUUCGAUGCAACGCGAAGAACCUUACCUGGUCUUGACAUCCACGGAAGUUUUCAGAGAUGAGAAUGUGCCUUCGGGAACCGUGAGACAGGUGCUGCAUGGCUGUCGUCAGCUCGUGUUGUGAAAUGUUGGGUUAAGUCCCGCAACGAGCGCAACCCUUAUCCUUUGUUGCCAGCGGUCCGGCCGGGAACUCAAAGGAGACUGCCAGUGAUAAACUGGAGGAAGGUGGGGAUGACGUCAAGUCAUCAUGGCCCUUACGACCAGGGCUACACACGUGCUACAAUGGCGCAUACAAAGAGAAGCGACCUCGCGAGAGCAAGCGGACCUCAUAAAGUGCGUCGUAGUCCGGAUUGGAGUCUGCAACUCGACUCCAUGAAGUCGGAAUCGCUAGUAAUCGUGGAUCAGAAUGCCACGGUGAAUACGUUCCCGGGCCUUGUACACACCGCCCGUCACACCAUGGGAGUGGGUUGCAAAAGAAGUAGGUAGCUUAACCUUCGGGAGGGCGCUUACCACUUUGUGAUUCAUGACUGGGGUGAAGUCGUAACAAGGUAACCGUAGGGGAACCUGCGGUUGGAUCACCUCCUUA